CCAGUGGUUUUACUAAAAACCAACCAAACAAACAAUUUAGGUAAGU
rfam:Chelonia mydas contig141710, whole genome shotgun sequence.